rnacentral:rRNA from 1 species
UGGGGCCUACGGGGGGCAGCAGUGGGGAAUAUUGCACAAUGGGGGAAACCCUGAUGCAGCAACGCCGCGUGAGUGAAGAAGGUUUUCGGAUUGUAAAGCUCUGUUAGCAGGGAAGAGGAAGGACGGUACCUGCAGAGGAAGCCACGGCUAACUACGUGCCAGCAGCCGCGGUAAUACGUAGGUGGCAAGCGUUGUUCGGAAUAACUGGCGUAAAGGAUGCGUAGGCGGUUAAACAAGUUAUAUGUUAAAUAUAUAGGCUUAACAUGUAGAAAGGAUAUAAAAAUGUUUAAAUAGAGUGCAGGAGG